AGAGAAAACUCAGGAGAGUCUCUUUAUCGGCUGUGGCGAGGCCGGUGAAAGAGCGCCGAAGGUGUAAGCGGUAUAUUCUGUUUUUAAGGCAGACGCCGCGAGUCUCUCAGGCAAAAGGAUGGAGGUAUAAAG
rfam:Ruminococcus torques CAG:61 genomic scaffold, scf42